AUAUAUAUAUAUAUGAAUAGGGUGUAAUAUAUAAAAUAUAUCCUUAUGUGCUAAUAUAUAUGUGAUCUGUAUUAUACAUAUACAUGUGCUAGAGAGGGAGAGGUAUUAGGGAAUUUGUUUAUGUGAUGUGGAGGGAGGCAAGUUAAAAAUCUGUAGGAUGGGCGGGGGUGGGGGCAGGCAGGAGACCUAGAGAAGAGUCAGUGCUGCAGUUUAAGUUCGAAGGUGAUCUCCUGACAACAUUCAUUCUUCCAGGGGAGAGGUGUCCUCGUCUUCUUUUAAGGCCUUCAACUGACUAAAGGAGGCCCACCCUAUAGUAUGGAGGAUAAUCUGCUUUACUCAACUCUGCUGAUGUAGAUGUUAAUCUCAUCUAAAAAUACCUUCAUAGAAACAGCUAGAAUAACGUUUGGUCAAAUAUUUGAAUAUCAUGACAUAGUCCAAUUGACUCAUAAAAUUAAUUGUUGCGACUACAAUAUAGACUACAUACUCUCCCCUUAGAAACAAAAUCAUGUACGUUUUGCCAUAUUGUUUCAUCUCGCCACCUCCCCCUUUUUUUUCUUAAGAUUUUAUUUAUUUUUUUGACAGAGACACAGUGAGAGGGAACACAAGCAAGGGAGAGAGGGAGAAGGAGAAGCAGGCUUCCCACCAAGCAGGGAGCCCGAUGCGGGACUCGAUCCCAGGACCCUGGGAUCAUGACCUGAGUGGAAGGCAGAGGCGUAACGACUGAGCCGCCCACGUGCCCUCUACCCGCCUCCCCGUCUACACACGCACAGUUUUUAUCUAAAAUAUUUGAAAGGUGAUUGCUAUAGACGGAAUGUGUCCUCCGCAAAUUCAUAUGUUGUCAUCCUAACCCCCAGUAUCAUGUCAUUAGGAGAUGAGGACUUCGGGAAGGAUUCAGUCCUGAUGGUGGAAUCCUCACGAGUGGGAUUAAUGUCUUCAAAAAAAGAGAUCCCAGAAGUUCCUUUGUCCAUUUGAGGACACACCUACAAUCCAGGAAGAGGGUUUGUACCAGACACUGAAUCUGCUGUCACCUUGAUCUCAAACCUCUCCAGAACUGUGAGAAAAAAAUGUUGUUUCAGCCACCCCAUCUAUGGUAUUUUUGUUACAGCAACCUGAAUGCACUAAGACAGGGUGUUUACAAACCAAGCUUUGGGCAUCUUGAAGCAUCUUAGCAUUUAAUAUAUGCAAGAGAAUGCUCAUAUUUAUAUAUAUAUAUUUGAGAUUUGGGUCAUUUUUCUAAAGUAGCUUUGGGUGAGUUAAUGUAGAUUUCUUGCCUUUAUUUCUGUCGACCUUAUUUAAAACAACUCCUCCCCAUCACUCUCUGUGCCCUAAACCAGAUUUAUCUGCUAUUGUAGUAUAUAUUACUUUGUUGAUUUAUUCCAUUGUCUAUCUCUCCAACUAAAGGAAGGACUUUAUCUUGUUCACUACUGUAUUUCCAGGGCCCAGAACAAUAUCUGGCAUAUGGCAGAACUUAGUAAAUAUUGCUUGAACGAAUAAAUAAAUGAGCAAGCCUCGCCUCUAUUGA